GUUAGUGAGUCAAUUUCGAUUGCUAUUACAACGUUUGGACGCCAUUGUACGGGAACAAGUAACCGGACAGAAUUUAAGGAAUUUGAUGCCGACGGCAUCCUUUUUUGCUAUUUCGACUGUGACAAUCGUCAAUAAAUCGACGUAAAGUGAUCCGUCACUUCUGUCUAGCUAACUGGCUAUUUCACGGAAGUUGAAAGCUAACAGGACAGUUUCCGAUUUCCCAGUGCAACGUUGACGUUAACUGACGGCUCGCUUACUGGUCAAGGGACCGAUACCGCGAGUAGAGAACGGCGGCAAGGGUCGAAGGAUACCUCGGUUCAAAUUGGAAACGUAUCGACCACAGCACAUCGAGGACAACUACGCAUCAUUAAGCAUGGGAAAUCCCAUAAACCGAACAUUCAUUUACAUCGGCAACAGCCGGGACCAGAGGUCGAUGAGAAGGAAUUUCUUGGUUUUCCGGAGGAGGAAAUUAGACACAGCCACAAGCGGAAGAGGGAUAUGGACGAAGCCAUUCAAGAGGU